rnacentral:rRNA from 1 species
UGGGUUUGAUAAGUUAAUUGGUGAGGUAAUGGCUUACCAAGGGGACGAUCAGUAGCCGGUUCUGAGAGGAUGAACGGCCACACUGGGACUGAGACACGCCCCAGACUCCUACGGGAGGCAGCAGUGGGGAUUCUUCCGCAAUGGACGAAAGUCUGACGGAGCCACGCCGCGUGAGUGAAGAAGGUUUUCGGAUCGUAAAACUCUGUCGUUGGGACGAACGUGCUUUGGGUAAAUAAUCUAAAGUAAUGACGGUACCAAAGGAGGAAGCCACGGCUAACUACGUGCCAGCAGCCGCGGUAAUACGUAGGUGGCAAGCGUUGUCCGGAAUUAUUGGGCGUAAAGGGCGUGUAGGUGGAUUCUUAAGUCGUGUGUCUAAGUGCGGAGCUCAACCCCGUAUGGGCGCAGGAAACUGGGGAUCUUGAGUGCAGGAGAGGAAAGUGGAAUUCCCAGUGUAGCGGUGAAAUGCGUAGAUAUUGGGAGGAACACCAGUGGCGAAGGCGACUUUCUGGACUGUGUCUGACACUGAGGCGCGAAAGCUAGGGGAGCGAACGGGAUUAGAUACCCUGGUAGUC